rnacentral:lncRNA from 1 species
AUAGGGGUUCCUCCCUCCAAGUUGCUGCUCAAAGGCUGCAUAAAAGAUUCAUCUAUUGCUUAUGAAAAGAGAAGGAAUACAUGGCUAUUUAUAGGGCUUCUAAACCCUAACUCCUAAUAGGACUCCUACUUAAGACUCUUACUUCUAACCAACUCCUAAUAGGACUCUUACUCAAGACUCCUAUUCCCUUACAACUCCUAAUUCUUCUCUAAGAAAAAACCUCCUACAUGAAUGCCCCUCUCAAUUAGGACUCUCCUAGCUAGAGUCCUAACAGAAUGUCCCUUUCAAUUAGGACUCUCCUAGCUAGAGUCCUAACAGUUUUACAUGAAUGUCCCACUCAAUUAGGACUCUCCAAACUAGAGUCCUAACAGACCCGCCCUCUUCAAAUCAGCCUUGUCCUCGAGGUUGAUGAUUUGUGAAUUCUGGGAAUUUGAUCUUCAAGUCGUCAUAGUUCUCCCAAGUGGCAUCUUCUAUUGGUAGGUUUGCCCACUGUAUUAG